CCUUUUCAGCAUGGAGGCUGCAGUUCGCUGCAGUUUCCUGCCUGUAUCCCUUGUCUUUUGCGUACUUGAUUGUUUCCUCGGCGGCUCACCCCGCCGAACGGACACCCAAACAAACCUUUUUUGCAAUUGAAGUCAACGUCUGAAACAAAUUAUAAUAUUUA
rnacentral:misc_RNA from 1 species